rnacentral:rRNA from 1 species
UACGGAGGGGGCUAGCGUUGUUCGGAAUUACUGGGCGUAAAGCGCACGUAGGCGGCUUUUUAAGUCAGAGGUGAAAGCCCGGGGCUCAACUCCGGAAUUGCCUUUGAGACUGGGGAGCUUGAACGUCGGAGAGGUGAGUGGAAUUCCGAGUGUAGAGGUGAAAUUCGUAGAUAUUCGGAAGAACACCAGUGGCGAAGGCGGCUCACUGGACGACUGUUGACGCUGAGGUGCGAAAGCGUGGGGAGCAAACAGG